CCUACGGGAGGCAGCAGUCGAGAAUCAUUCACAAUGGGGGAAACCCUGAUGGUGCGACGCCGCGUGGGGGAAUGAAGGUCUUCGGAUUGUAAACCCCUGUCAUGUGGGAGCAAAUUAAAAAGAUAGUACCACAAGAGGAAGAGACGGCUAACUCUGUGCCAGCAGCCGCGGGAAUACAGAGGUCUCAAGCGGUGUUCGGAAUCACUGGGCGUAAAGCGUGCGGAGGCUGGUUCGUAAGUCGGGUGUGAAAGGCGCGGGCUCAACCCGCGGACGGCACAUGAUACUGCGAGCCUAGAGUAAUGGAGGGGGAACCGGAAUUCGCGGUGUAGCAGUGAAAUGCGUAGAUAUCGAGAGGAACACUCGUGGCGAAGGCGGGUUCCUGGACAUUAACUGACGCUGAGGCACGAAGGCCAGGGGAGCGAAAGGGAUUAGAUACCCGAGUAGUC
rnacentral:rRNA from 1 species